UAGUAAACCAAUACCAAUAGUAAUAGAAGCAGGGGAAUAGUGCUGACUGGUGUCUGUGUGCUCGCCAAUUCGGAGAUCGUAGUGCUAGGUCAAACUAUGUGAGGCGAUAUAUAUUCGCAGUCAUCCGGAAGCUUCCAAAGUCAAGGAGUUGGUGAAGAAACGAGUUUUGAGUUCUUUUCCUCAAAAAGAAACUUGGUCUCUUCAAUCUCCACCAUCACCAAGGUGAUUUCUUUCUUGUCCCAAACAAGAUCCAUCAAUGGCAACAAAGCAAAGCUUGCCUAGAGUUGUUGUUGUUGUUGUUCCUCUCUCUAAUUCUCACAUCCAUCAGUCUUCAUCUCCAUCAGAGAGUAGUGAAACCACCCUUUCAAGAUGUAUAUUGAUCACCAGCUCUGCCAUAGCUUUUUCGCUGCUCUUACUUCCCUACCAGUACAUAGAUCAAACUCGUGUUCCAACUAUCAUCUUUAAAGGCCUCCCAUCUAUCUUCCAGGGCUUCGUUAUAUCUAUUAUCUUCGCUUUCACCGCUUCAUUUAGCGCGGUUUUCCUCCACAAAAGGCCAAAGAUUGCAAGUUGCUUCCUCUAUUUCUCCAUGCUUUCAAUGGUAAGCGCUGUCCUGUUUCUGUUUUGUGCCAUGUCUUCAGCCCUUCCCAGGUCGGCAUCUGACGAGCUCGGAAGAAUCACCGGUUGAAGAAGAAGAAGAAGAUAUCCACAGGGGGUUUUGAUGGAACUUUUUAUUUUCCUCUUGAAGCCUCACCAGCCCCCUUCUUUGUGCUGGAAUGUAACCCUAACCUUUCCUUGUAAUAUGCAACCUUAGAUGUUAUAAAACUUCAAUAUUAUGUUAA